GAGAAGCUCGGCGUGUUAGGGAUUCAGACCGGAAGGCGGGGAGAGAUUAGGCACAGGUGUCGAUAUCAACCUCUCAUAGAACAGAGAAGCAGGAACUACUCGCUGUGCACCAGAUCAUAAAUUGGUCCAUCCCUAGUCCGGAAUACAGGAAGCCGGAUGGAAAUUGGUAACAGCAUCAGCCACUUCGGAAUCAUGAGUGCUCAAGUUGUCUUUGUGCUUUUGCUCUUUGCUCUCACGAACAUAUAUACGAAAGAUAUCGACAUUGGUUCAGUUGACCGCUCCUCUCGGAAAGCAAUGUAGGUCGUGUUAAAUUGGGACUUUGGGCAUCAAAAUAAGUCACCAGUGUUCAGGAAAAGCGAGCAUUAACGCCGCUAAGGCGCACCUCUUGCGGUCUUCUGCAGUUUUUUGCCCUUUAUUCCUGCAACUGCUGAUUGCUCGUACAAAGUUCGAUUGAAAUUUAAUGAGAGUCAGAGCAAUGGGAUUUUCCAAGUGUUCCCCAAAGAUCGCACAACGUUCGAUUGAAAUUUUGGCACUCUCCGCACGUCUUGAUUAGUUGAUACGAUUUAACGAGUUAUCCCGUUUAGAUAUUCAUUGAUCAAUUUUGUAACUAAAUUUAACAGUACAAACUCCUUUUUUGGCUGUCUGAAAUAUUUGAUUGAUCAAUUAAAUGUUACUAUCUUCCAUCUGGAAA